UACGGAGGAUCCAAGCGUUAUCGAAUCAUUGGUUGUAAAGGGUCCGUAGGCGGUUUGGUAAGUCAGUGGUGAAAGCCCAUCGCUCAACGGUGGAACGGCCAUUGAUACUGCCAGACUUGAAUUAUUAGGAAGUAACUAGAAUAUGUAGUGUAGCGGUGAAAUGCUUAGAGAUUACAUGGAAUACCAAUUGCGAAGGCAGGUUACUACUAAUGGAUUGACGCUGAUGGACGAAAGCGUGGGUAGCGAACAGG
rnacentral:rRNA from 1 species